rnacentral:lncRNA from 1 species
GUCCCCCGCCACCGGGAACCCUCCUUCUCCUGGGCUGGGAGAUCUGAGGGUUGAAGCUUUCCGACUCCGCCGGGCUCGCCCGUCUCUGCGGUUUGUUUCUCCUCCCGGCUCUGGAACGGGGCCAGGGAGCAGCCGACGCAGCCAGGGCCGUGAUGCAAACCCCGGGGUAAACACGCUGCCCAGAGCUGGGAGCGAAGGUGCUAAAAGUAGCUCAAGAGCUAAAGUUCAUCUUUCUUUAGCUGCCCUGCGAGGGCAGAGCACGAGCCGGGCCCGGCCUCGCUGGCAGCUCCGCACACCCCAAGAGCUGUACCCGAACUAGGGCUGCCCUAGAGCCACCCCACAACCGCCCCCCAUCUGCUGCCCUGACUCUGGGAGGCACCUGAACGGCCCUCGCCUGCACCCACCACACACACACCGGCUCCCGGGGCAAUGGGAACGGGGGAAUCACCAGAGAGGGCCCCGAAAGGACCGUGGCACCCCUUUUCCCUGCAGUGCCAGGAGCAGGAGGAAGCUACGAGGAAGCUGGGUGACCGGUGGCGUUGCACAGGUCACAUCAACAGCGUUAUCACCGGGGGGAGAGUCAGGGACUCAUGACAGACGCCACCCCGACACGCCACGGGAGCUGCCCCCACUCCCACACGCCCAUCGACAGCCCGACGAAAAACUGUUCUUCCUCCAACAAAGCAGGUCCCUGCUGCGGGCAGGCACGGCCAGAGUUCCCAGGAGGCUGUCGGGAGGACUUGGCUCCGCUCCCCUGGAGCGCUUUCAAAGCCAGCCCUGGAGGCGGAAAACCCAAGCAGCGAUGCAGAGAUUUGCGAAAGGAGAAGAGGGUGACGGCGCAGGGAGGCUCGGGGCCACCUCGCAGCCGCAGCCCCGAGUUCCCUGCUCAGCCCCCACCCCAAAGCUGGCCGUUCCUCGUCCCAGCAGCUCCCCAGGGUCCGUCCCGACACGUAUCCCCGCUGCAGGAGCUGUAACAUGGCCACCACCACCACCACCCCGGGCAGAGGAUGCCAGGGUGCACAUCCCUCCCGUCCCUGCCACCCACCCCUGCGCCGGCAGCUCCGACAAGACCCCCAGGGACCCGCAGAAGGGGCUGCAGCGGGGAGUGACGGUGACAGGGAUCACCUUCAGGGUGGGAAUGGGGUCACCUGCCCCAACACACACAGGGGC